ensembl:lncRNA
GGUACCAUUUCCUGAAGUAGGAAAUACUGAUGGAGCAGGUUUGAUGGAGAAAGAGGAGUUGAGCUUUGGGAUUUGGUGGGUUUGAGUUGCCUGUGAAAUAUGCAAGGGAGAAUGUCUAGUUGGCUCUAAGUGGAUAUUCAGGUAGAGGUUUGAGAGAGUUCAGGAGAGGUUAGAGAAGAGAUGUGCCCAAAUCUAUCACGGGCCUGGGGAAAAGAUGGGAGAGCCUAGGAAGUAUGUACAGAAUGAGAAAAAGGAUUUGGGAAUCAAAACCUGAUAAUCUACAGCAAGUAGACAAGAAACUGGCAAUUAAGAAAGAGUGGUCAAAGAAGUGCUAGAAAAACUAGAUAGCACAUUAAUUAAAGGAAGAGUUGUUUGAAAAGGAGGGUUUAACGGUGCCAGGAGGACUAGUAAAAUGAGAACCAUUAGUAGUCCUACUGAGAAUUUUUGUAGUGAUGGGAACAGUCUAGAUUAAAAUGGGUUGAGAGGUGGGCAGGAGGUGAGAAACCUUUUGACACUUUUAGAUCUGGCUGUAAAGAGGAAGAAAGUAAAAGGUCAGUAUUUACAGGGGGACAUGAGGUCAUGCUUUAUUUAAAGACAGAAGAUUUAAUACAUCUAAAUGCUGAUGCAAAGGAGCCAGUAGAGCGACUGCUGCCUCUGGGUGUGAAGGAGCUCUCUGCACACAACCCCUGAGCACAGGUGAAGGCAUUAUCCACAGCUUGGGGGUCACUGCAAUAGGAAUGAGGAAGGCUCAGAGGUGGGGAUAGAAAGACUCGUAGGUUUGGUGUCAGGAAAGCUGUAGUUCAUGACCGUGCCUAUUUUCUCUCUGAAGCUGGAGAGUGUGGGAGGAGGUGAGGACUUUGCAGGUCUGAGGAAUGAAGACUGAGGUAGCAGCUGUGGAGAGCUAGCUAGAGUGUGAGCUGGUGAGGAAAGCAUGGCCUAGUGCAGAGAAACAUGUCCCAGCCUGCAUUGUGUGGGAAAGGUUUUCUUCUAAAUACAGGCUGCUCUGUUUUGGUACAGGGAGGAAAAAGAGGCAGGCAGUAAUUCUUUUGUCUUUUAACCCAAACUGCAGGAAGAUCCAAGGUUACUUUGUACCUGAAUAAUGGUAACUCUUGCCUAUUACUGACACUUUAGCUGGCUACCACUUCCUUUGACACUCUGACAUGUUAGUUUUUCUUACACAAGAAAACUUCGAUUGCCUAGGCUGCCGCUCUUGUUCUACUUCCCAUCUUUCAGAUUCAUGACAUCUGAAAGUACAAUGUACGGCUUUUAAAAGUUUUAGAUCAGUAUGUCGAUGUCAGCAGCUGAUCCAAACACGACCUAAUAUAUAAAACAAAGCCAAUUAUAUAGGUUCUGUCAUGUAGCAGUUAAUUGAGAAAGACAGUUUCUCAUUAUUGGUUUC